GGAGUCGCCAUGAUUCUCCUGCUCCGGACAGACACAGGUUAAGAUCCUCCCUGAUCUGCUGGAGCUCCUGAAGAACCAAAGUUACAGGAUCUCCAUAACACAGGGCAACAACAGGACGUUUGAGAGGAGUCCCCAUGAGGAUCCGGUAUCGAUAGUGUAGCAGAAGACAGAGGCCUCGAACCCGUCCAAUGACUCAACACAAUGGACAUUUGCAAACAAAACCAUUCGGGCAAAAGAGCUGCAAGAUUUUCAUUUUUACUUUUUAUUUAUUUAUUUUUGUUUUCUUUUGUGGGGGUUGCAAGGGUGGAGGGUGGAUAUGGAAGGAUGGGGAGAGGAGUGGGAUUGGGGGACAUGAUAUGAAAAUCACAAAAAAUCAGUAAAAAGGUUUUUAAAAAAGAAAGAUGGACACACAUUCCAACAGGCCAAGCUUCUAAAGGCCAAGACAGCAUCCUCUCCAUAGAGAGGUGCAGUGCUGUUUAUUGUCCCAGAAGCCUUCGGGAGUUAGCACAGAACAAGGUAAGAGCCUUGGAUGGGAGUGGAAGCCUCACCGAGCAGUGUCAGUUACCAGGAGUCACUCACUCCAGUUGAAACAUGCUUUCAACGUCAUCUUAUUAUUGUUUUGGGACAUUAUUUUAUCAUGUAACUCUAGCUGACUUAGAACUGGCUAUAUAGACCAGGCUGGCCUUGAACUCACAGAGAUCCAUCUACCUUGGCCUCCAAGUACUGGUAUUAAGGGCAAAAUGCCAUCAUAGCCCACUCGACAUUAAAAAAAAAAAUAAAAAUCUCCAAGAGCUGUUUGCUGUGUGUUCCCUACCCCCACAUCUCCCCUCAGGAGAGUGAAUUGAGGGUCAGAGUGGACGGUCAACAGGCAGGGCCUGGUGUCCCACCCUGUGACAGUCAGCAGUGCACAGCCCUUCUUCACGCUUUCCCUGUGUGUUGAUCAAGUAGUAGGGCUUGUCAUUUGUGACAAACAUCUGUUUCCCAGCCCAUGGUGGGCAGAAACACACAUGCAGGUAUGCAGAGGGAGGUGGGCCCAGGGAACCAAUGGAACCCACCUAGGACAUCGAGAGACCUCCACCGGGAAGUCCCUGGAGCCCCGUGCUGAUCCAGCAGUAGCUAACUAGCAGUAGGACACGGGGCUGGCCUUAGGACAGAUCUGGGAGCUCGGAAAAAGAGCAAUGGAGCUGCCUGGAGUGGGGAGCUACAAACCAUGAAACUAUGAAUUUUCAGCCAGGGACUUGGGCCCCCUGGCUCAGAGGUCUCCCAGGGAGUGGGGGGGGCAUCCUAGCCAUAAAUUCGUGUACGGUGCAUCCUUGUGUGCCAAUCUUUGCACACAAAGAUUGGUCUGUGGUCAACUUGAUUACAUCUGGAGUUAACUAAAACGCAUGAAGUUGGACACACCCGUGAGGGAUUUUUUUUUCUUAAUUAAAUCAUUUGAAGUGGGAAGACUCACUUUUAGUAUGGAUCUUUGAGGUGGGAAGAUCCACCACCUUCAAUCUGGGCUACACUGACUGGUAGCAGCCUAUAUAACGAUAUGGAAGAAGGUUCGCUCGCUUUGGGCUGCUUGCUUUCACUCCUGCUGGCAAGCCCAUCCCUUCACUGACAUUAGAGCCUACUUUUUAUAUAUAGCCUGUUGGUUCUGUCCUCUAGAGAAUCCUAAUACACCUGAUUAUCAUUGCUCCGCUUACAGUAGAAUCCCCCCGUUCCUGCCCCACCCCCCCCACACAGUGGAAGCCCUCUGCCCAUAAUCCCACUUUCACCCUUCAAAGGAUUCAACUUUGCUGGUGUUGAGGGAGACAGGGUGGCACAGCCUAGCCAGGUCACGGGCCUAUCUCACUUCCCUGAGUGCCUGAAGCAAUGCAGACAGCUUCUAGCCAGGGCACCGAGCAUUCUCUCCAGAUUCUUUGAGGUGGGAAGCAGCCCACUGUGGGAGGGGGCCACCCCUAGGCUGGUGGUCCUGGGUUCUAUAAGCAAAGAGGAAAUGGUCGCCCAUGCCUCUAAUCCUAGCCUAGCACCCAGGAGUUAGAGGCAGGUGGAUCUCUGUGAGUUGGAGGCCAGCCUGGUCUACAUAGUUCUGAGAUAGCCAGGCCUAUAUACAGAGACUUGUCUCAAAAUGAAACAGCAACAAAAAAAAAAGAAAAAGAAAAAGAAA